rnacentral:rRNA from 1 species
UCCUUCGGGGCUGUUCAGUGGCGAACGGGUGCGUAACACGUGAGCAACCUGCCUGUGGGUGGGGGAUAACCCGGGGAAACCCGGGCUAAUACCGCAUACGCUCUUCGGCUCGAUUGGGCUGGGGAGGAAAGGUGCUGCAAGGCACCGCUCAUCGAGGGGCUCGCGGCGUAUCAGGUAGUUGGCGGGGUAACGGCCCACCAAGCCGACGACGCGUAGCCGAUCUGAGAGGAUGAUCGGCCACAUUGGGACUGAGAUACGGCCAGACUCCUACGGGAGGCAGCAGUGGGGAAUCUUGCGCAAUGGGCGAAAGCCUGACGCAGCGACGCCGCGUGCGGGAGGAAGCUCUUCGGGGUGUAAACCGCUGUCAGAGGGGAAGAAACCUUGCCGGAGGAAAUGCCGGCGAGCUGACGGUACCCUCAGAGGAAGCACCGGCUAACUCUGUGCCAGCAGCCGCGGUAAUACAGAGGGUGCGAGCGUUGCUCGGAAUUACUGGGCGUAAAGCGCGCGCAGGCGGCUUCUUAAGUCUGCCGGUGAAAUGCCGGGGCUCAACCCCGAGCGUGCCGGGGAUACUGGGAGGCUGGAGACGAGUAGAGGCGAGCGGAAUUCCGGGUGUAGCGGUGGAAUGCGUAGAGAUCCGGAAGAACACCGGAGGCGAAGGCGGCUCGCUGGGCUCGGUCUGACGCUGAGGCGCGAAAGCGUGGGGAGCGAACAGGAUUAGAUACCCUGGUAGUCCACGCCGUAAACGAUGGGCACUAGGCGCUGGGGGGAUCGACCCCUUCGGUGCCGCAGCUAACGCGCUAAG